AACGUAGGGUGCGAGCGUUGUCCGGAAUGACUGGGCGUAAAGGGCGCGUAGGCGGUUCUUUAAGUUAGGAGUGAAAGUCCAGCUUUUAAGGUUGGAAUUGCUUUUAAUACUGGAGGGCUUGAGUGCAGAAGAGGUAAGUGGAAUUCCAUGUGUAGCGGUGAAAUGCGUAGAGAUAUGGAGGAACACCAGUGGCGAAGGCGGCUUCCUGGUCUGUAACUGACACUGAGGCGCGAAAGCGUGGGGAGCAAACAGGAUUAGAUACCCCGGUAGUCCCUGAGCGGG
rnacentral:rRNA from 1 species